rnacentral:rRNA from 1 species
CCUACGGGCGGCACCAGUGGGGAAUAUUGCACAAUGGGCGCAAGCCUGAUGCAGCCAUGCCGCGUGUAUGAAGAAGGCCUUCGGGUUGUAAAGUACUUUCAGCGGGGAGGAAGGCGAUAAGGUUAAUAACCUUGUCGAUUGAUGUUACCCGCAGAAGAAGCACCGGCUAACUCCGUGCCAGCAGCCGCGGUAAUACGGAGGGUGCAAGCGUUAAUCGGAAUUACUGGGCGUAAAGCGCACGCAGGCGGUCUGUCAAGUCGGAUGUGAAAUCCCCGGGCUCAACCUGGGAACUGCAUUCGAAACUGGCAGGCUAGAGUCUUGUAGAGGGGGGUAGAAUUCCAGGUGUAGCGGUGAAAUGCGUAGAGAUCUGGAGGAAUACCGGUGGCGAAGGCGGCCCCCUGGACAAAGACUGACGCUCAGGUGCGAAAGCGUGGGGAGCAAACAGGAUUAGAUACCCCAGUAGUC